rnacentral:misc_RNA from 1 species
CGUCAAACUCUGCCGUAGAGAGAAACAGCUGCGCGCAAAAUUCAGUCCUACCUAAGAGGUUAAACGUCUUCUAUUACCUCCACAUAGUACAGCUGAUGAAAAGAGAAUAUGUGUAUACUUCGUCGACUUCGUCUAUAUACCUGAAGAUGGAUGCCGGCUUCAUCAAAAUUAGAGCAGGUAUAAACUUUAAAGGACAUUAUAAAAAUGAUCAAUGUUGUUCUAGGAGACGACGAGGAAUGAAUUUUAUAAUGUAGAAUCUGCAUCGGCGAUGAAAAUUUACGUAGGAGAACGUUGGGCGGAAUGGCGUACUACUUCUUAAAUAUAUUAUUCUUUUUUAUGUGUCAAGGAUGGAGAUUUGACAGUUAUUGCAUGCGAUUCUAUAACUUUUUAGCAAUGUAAUGCAUAGACGAUACGAAGAGGAAGAUGGACUGUUAUUUGAAAAAUUCAGGUUCAGUGGAAGAACAAUCAAAAU